rnacentral:lncRNA from 1 species
GCCCUUCCCAUACGACUUCACAGAGCCUUUACUGUGUCAAGGGGAGCUGACUCUCUCCCAGACUGCAGGAGUUUGCAGUGUGUUUGUCUGUAGAGCUGGCUUUAAGAAGAAUCGCUUGUGUUCUGCGAAAUACCCUUGGAGAAGCAUUUUCUAGAUGAAUCUUCUCCUAACUUUGCCUUUGACUUCGAAGAAUCUAAUUUUCAUAUGGAGUUCGGACCCUGUCCCCAGCAGCACUUAGCACGGUCGCUAGGAGGACACACCUAUUCACUGAGCAGCCUCCUCCCGCGGGGCGGAAGGGGCAGCAGGCUCUCCAGGCGAAAGAGUGUUGCAAGAUAACUGACACUUUGAAUCACUGCGAACGCUCUACCUUUAUUGAGGAAUUGGACCAUCUUUGAAGCCACUGCUUUGCUUAUUGUGAUAAUACAUGGUUAAAUAAAUCGAUAGGGCAGGCUUUCCCCACAUUGCCAAGAGGUGGAAACAGGAUCAGAGGCAUUUGUGGACUUUCCUCAGGCACUGAAACUGGGAGGGAGAUAGAUCCAAGUACGUGAGGAGAAUAUCUGGCCAACAGUCAAAUUCAUGGCGGAGGCCAUGACUGUUACUGAGGGAGAGCAAGUUUGGCAAACAUUGCAGCCUGUAAGCCCUGUGGGAGACUCACGAUGCCCAAGAGCAUAGCCAGGGUCCGGAGAAGGCUUGCAUGAAAGAAACCAGUUCUUUGCAUAGCCGUGUCUCACUUUUCUUCGAGCAGCACCUGAUGAUUAUCCCCGGGGCUUGGAUUUUACGUCAAAUUCUCCUUAUGCUGAAGUCAAGUCUGUUCAUUCAUAGCAUCCUCCAUCAC